rnacentral:lncRNA from 1 species
CAGGGAAACAAUUUUCAAGUAGUUUGUCUGAAAACAUACGUUCAAACUGAGUGAACAGUUUUGAUCUUUAAUAAUUAUAUUUCACUGGAAAGAAUUUUUUCCUAACCUAUUACAUACCUAAAAUAUCAUAAAUCAAUUAAAUAUGGUUUUAAUUUCUUAAGUACAGUUCUUUAAGUUGGUGACCAAAUUAUAUUUUGAUAUAAAAGGGCUCCAUGAUUCAGAAAGUAUCCUAUUUUUAAAGUAUUGGUUCAAUAUAUAUAUUUCAUAUAGCUUUCAUGAUAUUUCUUUUAAUAAAAAUAAAUUGUUUUUUCCAAAAUGUUUAUACUUUAAUAAAUCUAUCUGGCAAUAAUUUCAAAGAAAUUUUGCAAAGAUAGCAUUCCAAUGUAUAUGCAGUGAUUUUGUAUUUUUCUUCCUCAACUAUUGUAUGUUUGUAAUUUAAUCAUGUAAUAUUUAAAAUUUCAAACCUAAUUAUAGAUUGAUUUUGCCCUUCUUAAUGUGUGGUUUUUAAAUAACUAUUACACAAUGGAAAUAAGGUCCUUUGUUUAAAAAAUAACUAUGCAAUUCUUAAGAUGUCCAGAAGAUGUCUUUGUUGCCCUUUAGUUUUGCAACUGCUUUUAUUACAAUACUGUGACAAUGUCUACACUAUUACUAAGCUGGUAUCAUUUGCUUUUUCUUUUAUGAUUAUAUAUAAUGAAAUGCUGAAUAUAUGUCAUUUUAAUAACAAAAGUAUCUUUAAAUAUGUAAGUGGAAAAGUAAAUAUAAUAAGUUUUCACUGGAGAAAAGUGUUAUAGAAAAGUAGGAAGCAGAAAAAAAUAUACCACAUACAGUUAACAUUUUUGCACAUUUUUAACCAUUUUUCCUAUGGAUUUUUAAAUUAUAUUUGAGAUUUUUCAUUUGAAUUGAAAGUUAGCUCACAUCACUAAAUUGAGAUAUUUUGUAAUUCUUAUAAAUUUUUAAUUACAUCUGAAUUGCUUCUUGAAAAUAAUUUUAAUACAUAAUUUGAUAGCAACACUAAUAAUAAACACAUAUUUAGGCAUUGGUAGGUAUUACACCAAAUAUAACUAUAGACCCAACCUUUAAGAACCUUUUAAUAUAAAUACACAAUUAAGUAUUUUCAUAUAAAAGUACUGAAUGGGUGAUUGUUUACAUGAUUUGGCAUAGCAGUUUUGAAUUUUUUCUGUUACAACAGCAGAUGUUAUUAACAUGGUAUACAACUCCCCUGGAAAUACCUAGAUAGGCUAAGCUAUUAGUAUACACAAUUCAUAAGGCAAAGCUAUACCCCUAUUCCAUCCCUAUUCAACAAAAAAAAUGAAAAUGUUAUUGAAUGUAAGUGAUUUUUAUAGGAGUGAUUUUUAAAUCUGCUCUAAGUGAUUUUAAGUAAAUAAUUCACAAACUGAAAUUUAAGUUAUAGUUACAAAUUAUACCAAACAACUGAUUGCAAAAGUGUUAUAAAUUUACAAACCACUAACCCACAUUUUAAGUGAUUUAUAAUAAUACUAUGAAAUAAGUAUGACAUGUACUAUCUUCACUUACAUAGAAACUGUGACUAUAGAUACAUAUCACACCUAGUUCUACAUUUUUUUCAAUUCCAAAUUCAUUCUUUUUUCCAUUACAAGUUUAUUGGCAAUUAAUUAUUAAUAAUGUGCUGUUUAAUCAUUUAUUGUAGACCCCUAAUGUAUGUAAAGACUGUCAACUAUUCAUUUUCUUCC